GCCGUCAAGUGUUACUUUUUUUUAAAAAAAAAACACGACCUCCCCUGUUGCGAUAGGGUUCAAGGGACUGCGCAACUAUGGAAAGUCUGAUCCAGCUCGGGCCUUUGUGGGGAGGCAGCUCGCCUGCGCCGGGCAGCACGGGGACCGGCGAGGACGGCGCAGCUGCGGGGAGGCAGCGCGGGGAGGACGAAGCGGCUACAGGAUGGCACAGCUGUGGAUAGGUGGCAUGACUGCGUCAGGCUCAGGCGGUGCGGGGAGGACGGCGCAGCUGUGGGUAGGCGGUGUGACUGCGUCAGACUCAGGCGACGCGAGGAGGACGACACAGCUGCGGGGGAGGCGACGCGAAGAAGACGGCGCAACUGCGUCAGGCGUCAUGGGGAGCACGGCGCAACUGCGGCGGCGCGGGGAGAUUGCUGGAUUCAUCGAGAUUCUGAAGCGUCGGCUUCGUCAGGUACGCCGUAUCCUCAAGUGCUACUCCAUGAAGACCACUGCGUAAUACGGAAUCGGGCAUGAUGACGGUGUCUGCAUCGACAUGGAUUCCGCCCAACAUGUGUUUGAUAAAAUGCGCUCAAGGUGCUUGUCCUCCAAGGUUACCUCUCUAGCACUCAUGAUGAUCUCCUUCCUCGUCGGUGUGCCUUUGGCCUAAGUGAUUGACGCUGCACGACAACAUCGUGUAAAUAGCAGCGACACAUGAGCGUUAUAGUCGGAUGAGAUAUCCCAGCCUAAGGUUAUUUGGUCCCUUCAUUUUUUUUGCGGAAACAAGAGGGGUCAAGGACCCCAGGUCACUGUAAGGAAGAUAUGAAGUCUACUUUUUCUCCAGGCCACUCAUGUUUUUCUCCAGGUCAGAGCUCUUUCGUCAUUGGGAAUGUCUGUGAUCAUUCUGGUCCAUCUCUAAUGGAGCUUCUUUAUCCUGAAUCUAGCAAGCAAGCAUUCAACACACACAAAGGCGCUAAAUACUGGUUCACAAUAUGCCAGAAGAAAAAGAUUGUUAUUACUGAUUUUAUCUAUUAAUCUGCUUGUAGUACGGUAAUUCACAAGUUUCACUACCAAAGAUUUUAUCUAUUAACCUGCUGACAAGUUUAUAUGUCAAUACGGAUUCUCCAAUGUUUUGAAAACUUUUAGGUCUGAAUAUGCUUCCUUCAGUAUUUUCUCAACUUGCCUUCCGAUACCCUGUGCUUUCCUUUUCCAACCAUUUCCUUCUCUGCAGUUUAUAUUGUCAGGGGAAAACCAUUCUAAGACAGGGGGAAGAAGCUUGUUGGUGGUGUACUUAUAUAGUAUGAGACUGUGAGUUAUGUCUUUUGUCAUUUGAGCAUGUUAUUGUCAAGAGCUUGAAAGGCUUGUCAGCUGGACUCGAGAAACAGCACCCAGGAGAAUUUUAUGACUGCACAAGAGUAGUUCAGUACCAAAGUCUGUAUGAAAGAUUGGAGAUGUGACUAUGGAUUGGAGAUGUUUUGUUCUCUUGACUAAAUAUUUGAAUCAUUGCAGUGAAGUCGUAGUGGUCUUCCACUGCUGAAUCCAUAGUUGUUUAGAUUUCUGUACGAAAGCUUGUGUCUGUACGAAAGAUUUUAAAGUUUGGAUGCAUCCAACGUUGAUGUAUGCUCUCAUUGUUAAUGUGCUAA